GAUGUAGCGCAGUGAUAGUGUGACUGCUUGCGGCGCAGAAAGUUCCAGGUUCAAUUCCCGGUGGGUCA